rnacentral:lncRNA from 1 species
UAAUGGAGAUAAGAGUAUUUUGAAGAGUAAAGGAGUUAGAAUAAAAUCAGAUAACUAGCUUGUUGAAGAUGUAUUAUCGGUCAUAUCAAAAAGUAAAGAAAAAAAAAAACGAAGCAACUUAUAAGAAAGAUAAGCUUGUUUGAGCAUAAAACCAAAUAGAAAUUAUAAUGCUAGUUUGAACGAUAAUCGAAAAGAAGAUACAAAACAAUAAUAGCAAGAGAGAGGAUCAAAGGAAAAAAAAAAAAAGUUCAUUGGAGCAAAUAUUGCUGUGAUAUCAUGAAAGAAAUGACUAGCUUGAAUUUUUAUUGAUA